AUAUCUACAUUCCGGACAGCCCGCGAAGGAUGAUUGCCUGGGAAGAUAAUGGAGUCAUUAAUCUCUGUCGGAGUUGGGCUCCCCCUGCCAACUUCUCAUCUGGGUAACUGAGCCAGCUGGAAGCCCCAUUAUCAGUCUCCAUGGUGUCUGCGGGCAGAGGAGCAGGGUGUACCGGCUUCUCCAAAGAAGCAGGUCCCUGGGUGACGUAAGAACAAGCAAACUGAGCCCAUGCUUGGGUCCUCAGACCUGACUCUGAAGUCCAAGACUCAGGUGGCAUCCUAAGGUUGGGUGAUUAACGGCAUCUUGUUACUGACUGUCUUACGGCCAACACCUGCUUUCUCAAGAAUUGCAUCUCAAGGACGUAUCACCAUCACCCCCAAACUGCUUCUUGGAGGCAACGUGAUCACCAGCUCCUGCUUCUUUGGGACUAUGCAUGCUACAUGACCACCAGACCCCAGCUAGGGUAUAAAAGAGACCCACAAAAGAACAAAGGUGCUGGUUCUUCUUUAGGGCCAGCGUUUCUUUUCUUUCCCUCUAAUAAAUUUUCUUUAAUCAC